rnacentral:rRNA from 1 species
GUCUACGGCCAUGCCACCCUGAACAAGUCCAAUCCCAUCUGAUCUCGGAAGCUAAGCAGGGUUGGGCCUGGUUAGUACUUGGAUGGGAGACCACCUAA